GAUGAACGCUGGCGGCGUGCUUAACACAUGCAAGUCGAACGGAAAGGCCCAAGCUUGCUUGGGUACUCGAGUGGCGAACGGGUGAGUAACACGUGGGUGAUCUGCCCUGCACUUCGGGAUAAGCCUGGGAAACUGGGUCUAAUACCGGAUAGGACGAUGGUUUGGAUGCCAUUGUGGAAAGUUUUUUCGGUGUGGGAUGAGCUCGCGGCCUAUCAGCUUGUUGGUGGGGUAUUGGCCUACCAAGGCGUCGACGGGUAGCCGGCCUGAGAGGGUGUACGGACACAUUGGGACUGAGAUACGGCCCAGACUCCUACGGGAGGCAGCAGUGGGGAAUAUUGCACAAUGGGCGCAAGCCUGAUGCAGCGACGCCGCGUGGGGGAUGACGGCCUUCGGGUUGUAAACUCCUUUCGCUAGGGACGAAGCGUUUUUGUGACGGUACCUGGAGAAGAAGCACCGGCUAACUACGUG
rnacentral:rRNA from 1 species